AGGGUCCCAAGAAGGGAGACACGCGGGAAAGGAGAUCAGACUCAAGGUCAAGGCAAGCUGGAGGCUGAGUGCCCAAGCCCCCAACACUCCCAGAGUUCAGGGACUGUGCACCACCUCAAGUCCACAGUAUGAACCUAGGCUCCACAAUUAUUUGAGCGACGCUGCUGCUGCUCACAGCUGAGAAAUUACCAGUAAGACCCGUGGCAAAGACGCAGUGGAAAAGCAAGAAUCGCCGCUAGAGGGCCUGGUCCCCAUCAGCUACACCUUCCUCCAAGGUCACCCACAGACCUAGUCAGCGAUCCCCUGCAAGGGCAUGAGCAGCCCAGGCAGAAGCGGACACCUGCCACCAACAGCCCGAGCUCGCUAGUGGCCCAGUGCUCAACUCUUCAACCCCAGCAGAGCUCGCAAAGGAAGAAAAGUUCAAUAACCUCAUAUUCCACCAUGGCUUUCUUCAUACUUUCCACGUCAAAGAUCAUCUUAAUGAGGUCCUGUACGGGCUUGGGGAGCUUGGACUUGGUGCCAGGCUUCACUGUCAGCUUCUUCACCGCCUCUUCGUCCUUCAUGGAAAAGAGAUUAAAUCGGUAAGAGACCCCCGUUCAACCACCCCAGUGAAAUGGUGGCAGCAUCUGGGCGGCAGAUGAAGGACACCACAAGACCGAGUGUCAAUGGCAGCAAAGGCUGAGGAAGUGUUGCCAGGAGGAGUGCGUAGGAGUCUGCCCCAGGAUCAGACCCUUCCUCUAAAUGCCGCUGGAAGCGCUCAGCUCUAAGCAGGCUGACCUGCAGGCACCCCCUGCCACAUGCCCUCACCCCCUCCUGCUCAUCACCUGCCCAGGGCCCACUAUGGACCAAGAGGACUCUGGACAGAUCCUCCCCAUUCCUCUCCCACUGCCUCACCCCAGGGCCUCUGUAAGAAGUUCCUACAACCUUCUAUACAGUCCCAAAAGAUCAAGUACCCAGACCCAUUUCCUGCCACACAGACUGAUGCAUGAGCUCUCCAUCCUCCUCUGCCUCAUCCCUGCUCCCUGACAAGCUAAGAGCACAAGA